UACGUAGGGUGCAAGCGUUGUCCGGAAUUAUUGGGCGUAAAGGGCUCGUAGGCGGUCCAUCGCGUCGGGAGUGAAAAGCUGGGGCUUAACCCGAGUCCUGCUUCCGAUACGGGUGGACUAGAGGUAGGUAGGGGAGAUCGGAAUUCCUGGUGUAGCGGUGAAAUGCGCAGAUAUCAGGAGGAACACCGGUGGCGAAGGCGGAUCUCUGGGCCGUACCUGACGCUGAGGAGCGAAAGCAUGGGGAGCAAACAGG
rnacentral:rRNA from 1 species